UACGAAGGGUGCUAGCGUUGUUCGGAAUCACUGGGCGUAAAGCGUGCGCAGGCGGAUGAGAAAGUCAGGGGUGAAAGCCCAGAGCUCAACUCUGGAAUUGCCUUUGAAACUACUCAUCUGGAGGCCGGGAGAGGAUAGUGGAAUUCCUAGUGUAGAGGUGAAAUUCGUAGAUAUUAGGAGGAACACCAGUGGCGAAGGCGACUGUCUGGACCGGUUCUGACGCUCAUGCACGAAAGCGUGGGGAGCAAAC
rnacentral:rRNA from 1 species